AAUUAUUUUAAGUGCCGAGACUGAGGGAGUUACAAGAACUAUCUCAAUUGCCCAUCCUCCCACAAAGAAAAGAGACGAGUCUUAACGGAGCUGUCCCAGAAUGCUCCUCAUGAAGGACCUCUGACAGAAAGUGCAAGCAGUCAGACAGCAGGACUACAGCAUGAGCAGGACACACAAAACAACAAAUCCUCAGAGCCUGACAGUGAGGCAGCCUGGAGACAGUCCCACUUAGUCCAAGUGAUGGAAUUACCCUCCACGUCAGACCAAGACAGACCUUGGACUCACGUAAGUGGGGACCAACCUGAUAUAAAAAUGCUAACAGAAUUACAGGUAAUAAUUAAUGUGAACAUUGACCAAUUUGUAUUAAUAAAACUUCUAAUAAAGAAGUUACUGUGUCAACACCAGCUUAUACAUAAGUCAAUGAAUUUAAUACUUUGAAGUAAACACUCGUUGCAUUAUCCAUUCAUGAUAGGUUUAUGCAAAUUUAAAUUCAUUAUUAAUUUAUAAGUUUACAAGGUGAAUAACUUCCAGAUGUUCAGCAGUUAAUGGCUAUAACACAUUAUUUGAUAUUUUUUAUGCAAAACUUUUGUAACUUUUUUUGAUGUAAUUUGAUGGAUCUUCAAUGCAAUGCAGAUACAGUUUAACAAACACUUUAUAGUUAAUUGGCAUAUAUUUCUGACCUCAUCCAAAUUAAUACGCCAGCACGGACACUGGGGUCAGAGGGCCAGCUCCAGCUUGUGGUCCCCAAGUCGAGCCUUAAGA
ensembl:lncRNA